CAUGGUUUGAAUUCGCCUCAACGUCUUGUUGAAUUAGUUCGACAAAGGAUCAGAUUGGUGAGAGGAUUGGCUGUGCGCGCUGCAUGUUUCAGUUGUAAAUGGUUGAAAUUUUAAUACAGUAUAGCAUGCAGGAGAGUUUCGGCUAGGUGCGCGCAUGGUUUGAAUUCGCCUCAACGUCUUGUUGAAUUAGUUCGACAAAGGAUCAGAUUGGUGAGAGGGUUGGCCGCGCGCGCUGCAUGUUUCAGUUGUAAAUGGUUGAAAUUUUAAUACAGUAGCAUGCAUGAGAGUUUCGGCUAGGUGCGCGCGUGGUUUGAAUUCGCCUCAACGUCUUGUUGAAUUAGUUCGACAAAGGAUCAGAUUGGUGAGAGGAUUGGCCGUGCGCGUUGCAUGUUUUUAAUACAGUAGCAUGCAUGAGAGUUUCUGCUGCGGACGCAAUUUCAGUUUACCUUAUGAGCUUUAUAAUGGUUGAAAUUUUAAUACAGUUGCAUGAGAGGUUUCGAUUUCAUGCUUUUUUCCUGACUAUGUUUUUAUUUUUGUUUUUUUUUUAUACUGAUGUGUGGCCGAAAUUAACAUGCUGAAAUAUCUGACGGUAAGUGUUAAUCUUUAUUUCUCACAUUAUUGCCAGUUUGCAAUUACAGAGAUAGGUCGACUUUGAAAUGGUUCUAAUUUUAGCGCAGUUGCAUGUAUGAGAGUUUUGGCUGAGGACGUAAUUUCAUUUUGCCUUAUGAACUUUAUAAUGGUUGAAAUUUUAAUACAGUAUUGCAUGCACGAUAGUUUCGGCUAGGUGCGCGCGUGGUUUGAAUUCGCCUCAACGUCUUGUUGAAUUAGUUCGACAAAGGAUCAGAUUGGUGAGAGGGUUGGCCGCGCGCGUUGCAUGUUUCAGUUGUAAAUGGUUGAAAUUUUAAUACAGUAUAGCAUGCACGAUAGUUUCGGCUAGGUGCGCGCGUGGUUUGAAUUCGCCUCAACGUCUUGUUGAAUUAGUUCGACAAAGGAUCAGAUUGGUGAGAGGGUUGGCCGCGCGCGUUGCAUGUUUCAGUUGUAAAUGGUUGAAAUUUUAAUACAGUAUAGCAUGCACGAUAGUUUCGGCUAGGUGCGCGCGUGGUUUGAAUUCGCCUCAACGUCUUGUUGAAUUAGUUCGACAAAGGAUCAGAUUGGUGAGAGGAUUGGCUGUGCGCGUUGCAUGUUUUUAAUACAGUAGUAUGCAUGAGAGUUUCUGCUGCGGACGCAAUUUCAUUUUACCUUAUGAGCUUUAUAAUGGUUGAAAUUUUAAUACAGUUGCAUGAGAGGUUUGGAUUUCAUGCUUUUUUCCUGACUAUGUUUUUAUUUUUGUUUUUUUAUACUGAUGUGUGGCCAAAAUUAACACGCAGAAAUAUCUGAGGGUAAGUGUUAAUCUUUAUUUCUCACAUUAUUGCCAGUUUGCAAUUACAGAGAUAGGUCGACUUUGAAAUGGUUCUAAUUUUAGCACAGUUGCAUGUAUGAGAGUUUUGGCUGAGGACGUAAUUUCAUUUUGCCUUAUGAACUUUAUAAUGGUUGAAAUUUUAAUACAGUAUAGCAUGCACAAUAGUUUCGGCUAGGUGCGCGCGUGGUUUGAAUUCGCCUCAACGUCUUGUUGAAUUAGUUCGACAAAGGAUCAGAUUGGUG
rnacentral:lncRNA from 1 species